UCUGACAGUACCAACUGAAACACAAACAAUCUGGGUCAAAUCUACUUGAAGACAUUAGGCCCACACUGCCCCUUUGCGCAUGCGUCUGCGGUGAUUCUUGGCUGCAGGCCAGAGGAACGGUUCUCUUUCGCGCCUCCCUCCUGGUGUGUGGAAAUAUUGGAAGACAAUUUGGAGUGGAGGUGGUGACCCUCAGCCCACGUGUCAGUGUCUUCAAGGAGAGAUGGCCUGGUUUAUUCAAUGAGGCUCAGAUCAAGGAGGAGUUCCGACACAUAACAACUCUUUCACUGGAAGAGACUUUGAUGCUGAAACUGGAUGGGUACACUAACACCACUCGCUCCAGCUGAUGCGUGCCAAAGGAGGAGAUGCUGGCUCCAGGAUGCGCCCUCUUCUGAGCACAAUUGAUGA